UCGGGCUCCGCGGCUCAAAAACAACAGCGGCAGCGCCGCCAGCUCCGCGCUCCGCCACUGCCCGGGCCGGCGGGCGGGACUCGGACCCGCCGCCCUCGGUCCCGCACGGAGCCGUAGGGAGCAGCGCGCCGGGCACUGGGGAGGCGGCGCCGGGGCAGCCUUCCCAGCGCCGGGCGCCCUGCACCUCGCCGCCUCGGGCGGGCCCGCUCUCUCCUGCCUCCGCGGCCCCAGGUGAGUACCCAGCGGCGCGAGCGCCCGAGCUGGGCCACCUCGAGCGACCGGAGCCUCUGGGGACACGUCCCCCAGCCCUUGCGCGGCCCAGGUGCGUCUCGGGCGGGAGAGCCAGCGAAGGAGCAGGUGCCGGAGCGCGGGCGGGAGCCGACUGGGCGUUCCUUCUGCCCCACAGCCCUCAAAUUCGGAGGGGCGGCGGCGGAGGGGCAGGCUGGGCGCAGGCAGCGUGUUCCGGGCCCAGGGGCCUGGAGGGGACGCUGAGAACUGCUCACUCGAGUAUGUCUGGGAUUCGAGAAAGAAUUGGAAGCAAACGGAGGCGCUGACCCCCGCGCUCUUUCAAGUACCAGGGUUCUGCCAGGCCGCGGGACUUGCAGCUGCCAGAGAGUCUCCCUGAGCCGGGGAGGGGUCGUGUGCGCGGUGCGGGGUCUCUGCCGCCCUGGGUGGGCUCCGGGCCGUGCCCCUCCCCUUUGUUGUGCAGUGAGACCAGUGGCGCCUCCGCUGGGACCUACAUUCGGAACCCCGCGUCCUCGCCAUAAAAGAGGUGAACUGGCAAUGUCCAAGGAGCUGCCCCCAAAACCUCGGGGUCCUAGCAGAGGCGCCCCGAUGCCGAGGGGCGCAUGACCCACGCUACCCCAGAGGAAAGCCCGACGGAGCCGGGCUUGUCAAAAGCCAGCGGCGGCAGCACGCUGAGCCUUCCACCCUGGCCUCUCGGCCGUCCUCAGCCGCUUCCCUGCCGGGAUUCGAACCCCGACGGAGCCCCCACUGCUGGGGGGUGGUGUGUCCAGGCUUGAGCCCGCUCGCUUGCUGACCCGGACGGAGAAGGCGCUCUCUGCCCGGCCGGGAUGCCCACUGACCGCCGCCUCUGUUGUUUCCGGCCCUUGGCCCAGAGACGCUCGCUGUGACCCAGGUAAGUUUAGAAGCCAGAAGCACACAGGACCUGAUUUCUGGCCAGCGAGUUCAGAAGCUGUGUGGCGGCUCAGAGCGGAGGCCUUCCGGCACCCACACCCAGUCCCUGGUUCUGGAGUGGGUCGCAGAGAGGGUUGGGGACGCUCCCAACCGAGACUUCCCAGGAAUGUGAGCCAUGGAGCUGAUUGCGAACAAACCCCAGAUGUUUAGAAGCCUACUUCCUUCUCAGGCAGGAGGACGCUCUCUCUUGUAGACGGGCAGCCUCUUGGGAGGGCUUCGGUGAUUCCUCUGCCGGGAUCUUGGAGUCCUGGCUCAGGCCACCAUCUUGCAGGAGCGCAGGUGCCCGUAAGGGGCACCUGGGGUCUGCCACGUGCUUCGGCGGGAUGUGAUCAGGAGUUUUGUUUUCUUUUUUUUUAAUUUAAGAGAUGGAGGCUGUGAGCUUGAACUCCCUCGUUUGAGCCAGGUGGGAGUUGACUCCAGUAUCUCGGCCCAAACCAGCACCCCAAGAAGCGCAGAAAGUCCCCGGCGACUCGUUCCCCCGCAGCGCGCAAAGCGGGCGGGACUCAGCGGCUAAGUCCCCGGGCUCCAGCAACCGCGCGGGCUCCGGCUCCGGCCUCGGCCGCCGAGCGCAAUAAACGGAAUCGGUUUCCCACG